rnacentral:rRNA from 1 species
UAGGGAAUCUUCCGCAAUGGACGCAAGUCUGACGGAGCAACGCCGCGUGAGUGAAGAAGGUUUUCGGAUCGUAAAACUCUGUUGUAAGAGAAGAACAAAUUGUAGAGUAACUGCUACAGUCUUGACGGUAUCUUACCAGAAAGCCACGGCUAACUACGUGCCAGCAGCCGCGGUAAUACGUAGGUGGCAAGCGUUGUCCGGAUUUAUUGGGCGUAAAGGGGGCGCAGGCUGCUUCUUAAGUCUGAUGUGAAAGCCCACGGCUUAACCGUGGAAGGGCAUUGGAAACUGGGAAGCUUGAGUACAGAAGAGGAAAGUGGAACUCCAUGUGUAGCGGUGGAAUGCGUAGAAAUAUGGAAGAACCCCAGUGGCGAAAGCGACUUUAUGGUCUGUCACUGACGCUGAGGCCCGAAAGCGUGGGUAGCAAACAGG